rnacentral:lncRNA from 1 species
GCGGAUCAGAAUUGAGAGCCCCGAAUUUCAAAUUAGCGGGGUUUUUAUUGUGGUUACAGCAAGAAGUGCCAAUCAACCAACAGGCUUGAUCUUGGAUGAAGACAAAAUCCAGAAUAGAAGAUCCUGAUUGGAUUCCACUUUAUAUUGGAGAUACUUCAUUGUUGCAAAUAGUCCUAAAAUGCACAGAGCCACACAGGGAUUGAACUUGGGACCUUGUGCUUGUGAGGCAGGUGGUGGAACCACUGAGCUAAAUCCCCAGCAGUAACACUCUUGAAGACACAGGCAUAGGCAAGAAUUUUCUGAACAGAACCUCAAUUGGACAAGAAAUAAUAGCAAGA